GAUGAAGAACGUAGCGAACUGCGAUAAGUAAUGUGAAUUGCAGAAUUCAGUGAAUCAUCGAGUCUUUGAACGCACAUUGCGACCCCUGGCAUUCCGGGGGGCAUGCCUGUCCGAGCGUCAUUGCUGCCCUUCAAGCCCGGCUUGUGUGUUGGGUCGUCGUCCCCCCCGGGGGACGGGCCCGAAAGGCAGCGGCGGCACCGCGUCCGGUCCUCGAGCGUAUGGGGCUUUGUCACCCGCUCGAUUAGGGCCGGCCGGGCGCCAGCCGGCGUCUCCAACCUUUUAUUUUACCAGGUUGACCUCGGAUCAGGUAGGGAUACCCGCUGAACUUAAGCAUAUCAAUAAGCGGAGGA
rnacentral:misc_RNA from 1 species